AGGUGCCCCACGUGAUGAUGGCUGCAGCGUUGGAUGUUUGAAUUGGGACAGAACAGCCUAGAGUCAUACAGUAUACUGCCCAUCAAGUAGCCAUAGAUGCAACAGCUGAGGAAAGUAGUUUCGGCCUGGCUCUGCAGCUACAGGGGGAUGAACAAGGCUGUGUGGGAUAAGCCAUUGGAGUGGAAGCAAAGCAGUUCAUAAUCAAGGGUGUUAUUUAUGAUGCAGGAGGACAACCUGUGUGCUGAAUGGUGAUUGCUAGGCAAGGAGAACGCAAGCAUCAAAUACAUGCAAGCAAGCCAGCCGUCGGAGCAUGUGAGCCCUUGAUACGUCCAGGCAAGCCAGCCCUCGGUGCAAGGAACCCAGCAUUUGUGUGCAAGCUAGGCCUUGGUGCGUGCACUUGAAACAAGGACUUGGUGCAAGCAAGCCAACCCUUGGUGCGUACACUUAAAGCAAGGACUUGAUGCGAGGGCUUAGUGCAGCCGUGUAAUCACUCAAUGCCAGCUCUUGCCAGCCAGAAGUUGAUGCGGGCAUGUAAACAAGGCAGCCACCCAGCCUUCAGUGGGUGCACUUGAUGUCAGCUAGCCCUUGGUGUGUGCCGACAAGCAACCAGUUGCUGCCAAGACUGGAUGCCAGACAGCCCUUGGUGCACUCCUGUGGUGCACGCCUGCCUGCCAGUGAGGACUUGGUGCGUGCACUCGAUGCCUGC